AACGCGUAGGUAACCUGCCUCUUAGCGGGGGAUAACUAUUGGAAACGAUAGCUAAUACCGCAUAAAAGUCGAUAUCGCAUGAUAUUGAUUUGAAAGGUGCAAUUGCAUCACUAAGAGAUGGACCUGCGUUGUAUUAGCUAGUUGGUGAGGUAACGGCUCACCAAGGCGACGAUACAUAGCCGACCUGAGAGGGUGAUCGGCCACACUGGGACUGAGACACGGCCCAGACUCCUACGGGAGGCAGCAGUAGGGAAUCUUCGGCAAUGGGGGCAACCCUGACCGAGCAACGCCGCGUGAGUGAAGAAGGUUUUCGGAUCGUAAAGCUCUGUUGUAAGAGAAGAACGAGUGUGAGAGUGGAAAGUUCACACUGUGACGGUAACUUACCAGAAAGGGACGGCUAACUACGUGCCAGCAGCCGCGGUAAUACGUAGGUCCCGAGCGUUAUCCGGAUUUAUUGGGCGUAAAGCGAGCGCAGGCGGUUAGAUAAGUCUGAAGUUAAAGGCUGUGGCUUAACCAUAGUACGCUUUGGAAACUGUUUAACUUGAGUGCAGAAGGGGAGAGUGGAAUUCCAUGUGUAGCGGUGAAAUGCGUAGAUAUAUGGAGGAACACCGGUGGCGAAAGCGGCUCUCUGGUCUGUAACUGACGCUGAGGCUCGAAAGCGUGGGGAGCA
rnacentral:rRNA from 1 species